rnacentral:rRNA from 1 species
UACAGAGGUCCCAAGCGUUGUUCGGAUUCACUGGGCGUAAAGGGUGCGUAGGCUGUCGGGUAAGUCUGACGUGAAAUCUCCAAGCUCAACUUGGAAAUGGCGUCGGAUACUAUUCGGCUUGAGGAGUGGAGGGGAGACUGGAAUUCUCGGUGUAGCAGUGAAAUGCGUAGAUAUCGGGAGGAACACCAGUGGCGAAGGCGACUACCUGGCCUGUUCUUGACGCUGAGGCGCGAAAGCUAGGGGAGCAAACGGG